rnacentral:rRNA from 1 species
CCUGGUUGAUCCUACCAGUAGUCAUAUACUUGUCUCAAAGAUUAAGCCAUGCAUGUGUAAGUAUGAACAAAUUCAGACUGUGAAACUGUGAAUGGCUCAUUAAAUCAGUUAUAGCUUGUUUGAUGGUAUCUACUACUCAGAUAUCCGUAGUAAUGCUAAAGCUAAUACGUACAACAAACCUCGACUGCUGGAAGGGAUGCAUUUAUUAGAUAAAAGGUCGACAUGGGCUCUGCCCAUUGCUGCGAUGAUUCAUGAUAACUCGACGGAUCGUACGACCAUCGUGCCGAGGAUGCAUCAUUCAAAAUUCUGCCCGAUCAACUUUUGAUGGUAGGAUAGUGUCCUAGCAUGGUGGUGACGGGUGAUGGAGAAUUAGGGUUCGAUUCUGGAAAGGGAGCCUGAGAAAUGACUACCACAUCCAAGGAAGUCAAUAGGCGCACAAAUUACCCAAUCCUGACACGGGGAGGAAGUGACAAUAAAUAACAAUACCGGGCUCUAUGAGUCUGGUAAUUGGAAUGAGUACAAUCUAAAUCCCUUAACGAGGAUCCAUUGGAGGGCAAGUAUGGUGCAAGCAUCCGCGGUAAUUCCAGCUCCAAUAGUGUAUAUUUAAGUUGUUGCAGUUAAAAAGCUCGUAGUUGGACUUUGGGAUGGGCCGGCCGGUCCGCCUUAGGUGUGCGCCGGUCGUCUCGUCCCUUCUGCCGGCGAUGCGCUCCUGGCCUUAAUUGGCCGAGUCGUGCCUCCGACGCUGUUACUUUGAAGAAAUUAGAGUGCUCAAAGCAAGCCUACACUUUGUAUACAUUAGCAUGGGAUAACAUUAUAGGAUUUUGAUCCUAUUACGUUGGCCUUCGGGAUCGAAGUAAUGAUUAACAAGGAUAGUCGGGGGCAUUCGUAUUUCAUAGUCAGAGGUGAAAUUCUUGGAUUGAUGAAAUACGAAAUGCGAAAGCAUUUGCCAAGGAUGUUUUCAUUAAUAAAGAACGAAAGUUGAGGGCUCGAUAACGAUCAGACACCGUCCUAGUCUCAACCAUAAAUGAUGCCUAACAAGGAUCGACAGAUGUUGCUUUUAGGACUCCGCCAGAAACUUAUGAGAAAUAAAAGUUUUUGGGUUCUAGGGGAGUAUGGUCGCAAGGCUGAAACUUAAAGUAAUUGAAUGAAGGGCACCACCAGAAGUGGAGCCGGCGACCUAAUUUGACUCAACACGGGGAAACUUACCAGGUCCAGACAUAGUAAGGAUUGACAGACUGAGAGCUCUUUCUUGAUUCUAUGGGUGGUGGUGCAUGCCCGUUAUUAAUUGGUGGAGCGAUUUGUCUUGUUAAUUCCGUUAACGAACGAGACCUCAGCCUGCUAACUAGCUAUGCAGAGGUAUCCCUUUGCAGCCAGCUUCUUAGAGGGACUACGACCUUUUAGGCCGUGGAAAUUUGAGGCAAUAAUAGGUAUGUGAUGCCCUUAGAUGUUCUGGGCCGCACGCGCACUACACUGAUGUAUUUAACGAGUUUAUAGCCUUGACCGUAAAGAGCGAUAUUUAUAAAUAUGAACAAUAUUUGCACUAUUUAUUUACUCAUAUAAAUUAUCGUGUUGCUAUUACAACUGAUAUUGGUAGAAGAGGUAAUGAUCGUGAUUACCUUACUGUUACCAGUCAUUGUAUUGAUGAGGAUUGGAUAAUGCAAAAGUGCAUUAUUGCUUAUAGAAUAAUUAAUUCAUGUCACACAGGGUAGUUUAUUUCUAGCACGGUUACGGAUAUUUGUAGAUAUUUUUGCAUUAGUGAUAAAAUAAUGUCAG